AAUAGAUACCCGGGUAGUCCAUGCCGUAAACGUUGGGAACUAGAUGUGGGGACCAUUCCACGGUCUCCGUGUCGCAGCUAACGCAUUAAGUUCCCCGCCUGGGGAGUACGGCCGCAAGGCUAAAACUCAAAGGAAUUUGACGGGGGUCCCGCACAAGCGGCGGAGCAUGCGGAUUAAUUCGAUGCAACGCGAAGAACCUUACCAAGGCUUGACAUAUACCGGAAAGGUCUGGAAACAGUCCCCCCGCAAGGUCGGUAUACAGGUGGUGCAUGGUUGUCGUCAGCUCGUGUCGUGAGAUGUUGGGUUAAGUCCCGCAACGAGCGCAACCCUCGUCUUAUGUUGCCAGCGGUUCGGCCGGGGACUCAUAAGAGACUGCCGGGGUCAACUCGGAGGAAGGUGGGGAUGAGGUCAAAUCAUCAUGCCCCUUAUGUCUUGGGCUUCACGCAUGCUACAAUGGCCGGUACAAAGGGCUGCAAUACCGCGAGGUGGAGCGAAUCCCAAAAAGCCGGUCUCAGUUCGGAUUGAGGUCUGCAACUCGACCCCA
rnacentral:rRNA from 1 species